GACGAAGGGGGCUAGCGUUGUUCGGAAUUACUGGGCGUAAAGCGCGUGUAGGCGGUUUUCCAAGUUGGGUGUGAAAGCCUUGGGCUUAACCCAAGAAAUGCACUCAGUACUGGAAGACUAGAGGACCGGAGAGGAUAGUGGAAUUCCCAGUGUAGUGGUGAAACACGUAGAGAUUGGGAAGAACACCAGUGGCGAAGGCGGCUAUCUGGACGGUUUCUGACGCUAAGACGCGAAAGCGUGGGGAGCAAACAGG
rnacentral:rRNA from 1 species